rnacentral:rRNA from 1 species
CGAACGCUGGCGGCGCGUUUUAAGCAUGCAAGUCGAACGGUAAUAGAGUGCUUGCACUCUAUGAGAGUGGCGAACGGGUGAGUAACACGUAGGUGAUCUAUCUUAGGACCUGGGAUAGCCUGUGGAAACACAGGGUAAUACCGGAUACGACCUUAUGGGUAAGUCCAUAAGGGGAAAGUCGCUUAGGCGAUGUCCUUUGCUGAGCCUGCGGCUCAUUAGCUUGUUGGUAGGGUAACGGCCUACCAAGGCGACGAUGAGUAGCCGGCCUGAGAGGGUGAUCGGCCACACUGGGACUGAGACACGGCCCAGACUCCUACGGGAGGCAGCAGCUAAGAAUCUUCCGCAAUGGGGGCAACCCUGACGGAGCGACGCCGCGUGAACGAUGAAGGCCGGAAGGUUGUAAAGUUCUUUUCCUGGGGGAGAAUAAUAUCUGGAGGUAAUGCCAGGUAGAUGACGUGAACCAGGGAAUAAGCCCCGGCUAAUUAC